rnacentral:rRNA from 1 species
AUUGAACGCUGGCGGCAUGCUUUACACAUGCAAGUCGAACGGCAGCGCGGGCUUCGGCCUGGCGGCGAGUGGCGAACGGGUGAGUAAUACAUCGGAACGUGCCCAGUAGCGGGGGAUAGCUCGGCGAAAGCGGGACUAAUACCGCAUACGACCUGAGGGGGAAAGCGGGGGAUCUUCGGACCUUGCGCUAUUGGAGCGGCCGAUGGCGGAUUAGCUAGUUGGUGGGGUAAAGGCCUACCAAGGCGACGAUCUGUAGCUGGUCUGAGAGGACGACCAGCCACACUGGGACUGAGACACGGCCCAGACUCCUACGGGAGGCAGCAGUGGGGAAUUUUGGACAAUGGGCGAAAGCCUGAUCCAGCAAUGCCGCGUGUGUGAUGAAGGCCUUCGGGUUGUAAAGCACUUUUGGCGGGAACGAAAAGGACUGUGCCAAUACCACGGUUCGAUGACGGUACCCGCAGAAUAAGCACCGGCUAACUACGUG